GUGACUGUAACGGCAGUAAUGAUGUAUCUUCACUUUUUUUACUACAGGAAUCACUUAGUGGAGUUUAAAGUACCAAAUUCAUAUGAUGCCUAAUGUGUAUCUGGUUUUAUAUUUCAGAAUGCCAAAGCUUUGAAAGCAAAAAAGGAAGAGGGCAAUCUGGCUUUUAAAAGUGGUAACUAUGAACUGGCAUCUAAACUAUACACAGAAGCACUUGAAAUAGACCCCAAUAACAUCAAAACAAACGCCAAACUAUACUGUAACCGCGGCACUGUUAAUGCAAAGCUUAAGAAACGAGACGAGGCGAUAGAAGACUGUAGCAAUGCAAUAAAACUGGACGAAACAUAUAUUAAGGCAUAUUUACGAAGAGCGCAAUGGUU